CGCCUUUUGACAUAUAUUUAUAAAAGGUCCUGCCUGCCCAGUGACUCUGUUCAACGGCCGCGGUAUCAUGACCGUGCAAAGGUAGCGUAAUCACUUGUCUUUUAAAUAAAGACUAGUAUGAACGGCAACACGAGGGUUCAACUGUCUCACCAAAUUGGUCAGUGAAAUUAAUCUCUCCGUGCAGAAGCGGAGUUAAUUCUAUAAGACGAGAAGACCCUGUGGAGCUUUAAAUUUAAGCUAAUAUAUAUAAUAUUAUAGCAUAUGAUUUUAGGUUGGGGCGACCGUGAGGAAAAAUAAACCCUCAAGAUACUAAUUAGAGAGACAUCUCAACCAAAUAGCAAUACUAAUAUAUUGACCCAAUAAUUGAUCAACGAACCAAGUUACCCCAGGGAUAACAGCGCAAUCCACUCAUAGAGCCCAUAUCGACGAGCGGGUUUACGACCUCGAUGUUGGAUCAGGACCACCUAGUGGCGCAGCAACUACUAAAGGUUCGUUUGUUCAACGAUUAAAGUCCU
rnacentral:rRNA from 1 species